rnacentral:lncRNA from 1 species
UCGGGUCUUUUGAAAUAGAGUAGUGGAAUGUCAUCAGAACUGUUACAGCCCAUUGAAUUGAAAUCUGCGUAUGUGAAUAAAAGAUUUUAUUCUAAAAAGUGAAUAUGAAAGGAGGAACUGAGUAAAACAAUUCUGUCGCUACCUACAACUGAGAGGGUCCCCGUAUUAAAAGGUAUAAAAAGGUCAAGGAACAGAGCCUCGGCUCCUGUUCAUAGACAAAUUUAUUUAGGUGGGUUUAGCCAAAACCAUUACUUUGAAUUUGAAGCAUGUAUAAAUCUACAAAAAUAUUUUUUACAUGGACAUGCAUAUAUAAUAAACUAACUGAUAAAGAUAGCAAAUAUAUUACUCACGUGCAUAUACACAUAAGUUGCCUUUCUUGUAAACAGUUUUCACGAACAGGUGGAAAGACCACAUCACGGCUUGUGUUGCCUGUGUUCCAUCUCCUUAGUGGUUGCCCACAUAAUGAUUAUGUUGUAUCAUCCCAUGCUUAUCUCAAGAUUGACAGACUCUGCAUCUGAGAUCGUGUUAUACUGGGCUUUAAGGUCAUACUAUUGUAGCAACUCAACAGUAUUGCAUAUGACCUUGAGCAAGGAAUUAAGCUCUUGUGGAUUUGCACUUGAAUAGACGUACAGUUGGCUGUAAAAUCACUGUAGUUUGUAGAGAUGGCAUCAGACACAGAUGCAGUGCCGGCUUUAAUCUUGUAGCUACUGAGUAUAGUCAUAGCAUUCCGUAUCUGGUUCAGAGAGUCCCUAUGCCAUAUCACCGUCCCUGAAGAUCAGUAAAUUAUUAGAAAUGAUCAGUCCAAACGUAUAUGAUCCUAUACAGAAAUAUGAAAAGGCAGCGAGCUAAACAAAUAGUUUAGACCUAAAGGUGGCAAAUGAGUGUUUAUAUCAAAUUUAGAAUAUACUGAACUAAGAAAGGUAAGAGAGAAAAAAGCUAGUUAGCUUUUAAUUUUACAUCUCCCAGCUAUACAAGGUCGAUAAGCAUAAUCAUCUCCACAGAUUUGGUCCGGCGUUGCAUCCUUAGCGCAAUUCCGUUCUAAAUAGAUAGACAUCAUUUCUUUAUAGCUUCUUCCAUUUAACACAAUAGUAAGACUUUUUUCUCAUCAUUGUUAUAACUAAAUCAACUCUUCUGUUAUUAAUCACAAUUCCUACAGUUUUCAGCAUAUUAAAUCCUUAACAUACAAAGACAAUCAAGGAAACCAUAAGCUGAGGAAAGCUUUAAUCUUCUGUACAAAAGACAAACUUGUAUGGAUAAGAUCAAUCAAAAUGCUUGGAGAAGGCCAAUUUAUCCAUCUUCCUCAGCAUGUCUAAGGUUAAAUAUCUAAGACGUAGCCAUGCACUGGCAAAUCCUGCAAUGGUAAUUUCAGCAGUAAAGUUCUUACUGAACAUUGUGAUAACAAGUAACAGGGCAGAUACUCAAAGCACUCAGACACUGCACCUUUACUCAAAAGGUUUGAACUUCACUAGGUGCAGAAACCUCAAAUGUUUUAACGUUCAGACUAACAAAUAUAAUCUUAAGAAUAUAUAUAUAUGCUGGAGGGAGCUCUAGGCAUAACUAUCAAACAAGAACCAGACAGAAAAUGUUUCCCAGCAACACGUUCAUUAUUAGAGGGGCCGGGAAGAGUUUUUGAGAUGUCUAAUGAUCAAAUCCAAGACAACAGGUUUGGUUAUUGAAGGAUAGUAGUUAAAGGCCACUAAAGCACAUAUACAAACCUAAGAGGAAGCAUGAACUUUGAUGUGAUAAUACGAGAGAACCAGUCACAUAAUAGCACCAUAUCCCCGAAGUACUGGAUGAGAGUUGUCCAAUUUAAGUUGUUCCCCUAAAAAAUUUCAGUAAUUUUUUGUACUGUAGGAAAUGUGCAUAGCAUAGUUUACCCAAAUUAAUGAUUCCUCACAAGUCAGAGACCUAACAGUUUUCUUGAUUUUCUUGAUCAUACAAAGAACAGUUUCAGGCAGAGGCAGAGAGUAUUUGUGACGUAUUACAAGUUUUCAAAGUCAAAGACCGUGAUCUUUAUUCAGAAACAGACUAAUAGAUCACAGACCAAAAUACCGCCCACUGGAAGCUGUAUGUAUCAAUUGGAAAUCCUCAGUUACCUUUAAAUUUCAUGAUGCCAACAUGCAAUUAUUCAACUCUUUAGACCCUACCCAUACUGAUACUGAUACGGAACCCUAAGAAUGAAUUGACGCAGUUGCGAACAAACAUAUUCAUGUUCUUUAAAUUUCAAGAAAUAUUCAUAAGGAGACAUGAAUAUGUUUAUUCGCAACUGCCGCCAUAUUGAAUCACUUGUUGGUAUCUUCAACCCUAGCAAUGCAUUGAUGCACUAGAUAUUCAUUAGGAGAGAGAGAGAGAACUGAUAGGA